rnacentral:rRNA from 1 species
GAUGAACGCUGGCGGCGUGCCUAAUACGUGCAAGUCGAGCGAACGGACGAGAAGCUUGCUUCUCUGAUGUUAGCGGCGGACGGGUGAGUAACACGUGGAUAACCUACCUAUAAGACUGGGAUAACUUCGGGAAACCGGAGCUAAUACCGGAUAAUAUUUUGAACCGCAUGGUUCAAAAGUGAAAGACGGUCUUGCUGUCACUUAUAGAUGGAUCCGCGCUGCAUUAGCUAGUUGGUAAGGUAACGGCUUACCAAGGCAACGAUGCAUAGCCGACCUGAGAGGGUGAUCGGCCACACUGGAACUGAGACACGGUCCAGACUCCUACGGGAGGCAGCAGUAGGGAAUCUUCCGCAAUGGGCGAAAGCCUGGCGGAGCAACGCCGCGUGAGUGAUGAAGGUCUUCGGAUCGUAAAACUCUGUUAUUAGGGAAGAACAUAUGUGUAAGUAACUGUGCACAUCUUGACGGUACCUAAUCAGAAAGCCACGGCUAACUACGUG